GGUGGGUGGUACAUGGUUGAACAUCUGAGAAUGCUGUUCUUUACUGUCCAACAAAUCAGCAGAAGAGGAGAUGGGCCUCAGGUGUCCUGCAGCCAACUGUAUCUCAAGAAACCACAAUAAAAUCUCUCGUCCAUGGUUUUCGCCUCUCCCUCAGCCUCCUGGAGACCCUAGUGCUUCCUCAUGUGACCCCCAUGGCACGUGGUGUGCCUCUUCCUUUUGGAAUCUACAGCCAGCUUUCCAGUGAAAUUCACAUCCUAGAUAAGACCCUUGCUGCACAGGCAAGAUAGCAGACAUCAAGGCUCACAGACGAUGAAACAAAAGAGGCAAGAAAGGGUCUCUUGUCUCUUUGGCAGCUCUGCGCCCGUCUCUGGAGCUCCUUUAAGCGGCGCGCUUAAACCCUCUCCUCACGCCCGAGGAAGUAAAGAGGGAAGAAAACGUCUCUUGCCUCUACAGCAGCUCCAGACUUCUCCCAGACUCCCUCCCGGCUAGCCGUGGUGCACUAGCCCCUUCAGGCUGUGUUCACGCCGCCAACCCCAGCUUCCUACUGAAGUCCGAGCCUCAGCUCCCAGCCCCAGCCCUUCCCGGCGGGUGAGCAGACAAGCCUCUCGGGCUGGUCAGCUGAUCUCAGAAAGUGUGACUCCCAGAUUCUGUCUGUCAUUACAACAGAAUUAAGUGGAUGAACCUGAGCCUCUAUUUCAAGUGGGAAAUCCAUGAGGGAAAGUCAGAACUAACUCAUUCUGUGAAGUGCCUCAUCCCUUCCUCUUCUCACUCGUCCCCCUGUCUCCACCCUGCACCCCAGUUUCCCCUUCUCUCUAGAAUUCCACCUCUGCCUGUUUUCCAUCUUGGAUUGCUGCAGAGGUCUCAAAACCCAAUGUCGAU